AGAUUGAUUUCAUACUCUACGGCCGCACUUGUCUGUCUUCCACCAAUACUGGCGUAUAAUCGCUAUCGCGCUCGCCUAUCACUGUUUUCAGCAUGCUUCCAGUGAACGACUACAUACUCACUGCAGAUCUUAAAAUUCUGAGAAAAAAAUGUUCCACGGCGUUUUCCGCCUUACCACUUCAUGAUUAGACCCUCUGACUGAUAAGCCUUCCAUUGCACUAA
rnacentral:lncRNA from 1 species